rnacentral:rRNA from 1 species
GAUGAACGCUGGCGGCGUGCCUAAUACAUGCAAGUCGAGCGAACAGACGAGGAGCUUGCUCCUCUGACGUUAGCGGCGGACGGGUGAGUAACACGUGGAUAACCUACCUAUAAGACUGGGAUAACUUCGGGAAACCGGAGCUAAUACCGGAUAAUUUAUUGAACCGCAUGGUUCAAUAGUGAAAGACGGUUUUGCUGUCACUUAUAGAUGGAUCCGCGCCGCAUUAGCUAGUUGGUAAGGUAACGGCUUACCAAGGCGACGAUGCGUAGCCGACCUGAGAGGGUGAUCGGCCACCCUGGAACUGAGACACGGUCCAGACUCCUACGGGAGGCAGCAGUAGGGAAUCUUCCGCAAUGGGCGAAAGCCUGACGGAGCAACGCCGCGUGAGUGAUGAAGGUCUUCGGAUCGUAAAACUCUGUUAUUAGGGAAGAACAAAUGUGUAAGUAACUAUGCACGUCUUGACGGUACCUAAUCAGAAAGCCACGGCUAACUACGUG